UUGGGCGUAAGAGCUCGUAGGCGGUUUGUCGCGUCUGCUGUGAAAGACCGGGGCUCAACUCCGGUUCUGCAGUGGGUACGGGCAGACUAGAGUGCAGUAGGGGAGACUGGAAUUCCUGGUGUAGCGGUGAAAUGCGCAGAUAUCAGGAGGAACACCGAUGGCGAAGGCAGGUCUCUGGGCUGUAACUGACGCUGAGGAGCGAAAGCAUGGGGAGCGAACAGGAUUAGAUACCCUGGUAGUCCAUGCCGUAAACGUUGGGCACUAGGUGUGGGGGACAUUCCACGUUUUCCGCGCCGUAGCUAACGCAUUAAGUGCCCCGCCUGGGGAGUACGGCCGCAAGGCUAAAACUCAAAGGAAUUGACGGGGGCCCGCACAAGCGGCGGAGCAUGCGGAUUAAUUCGAUGCAACGCGAAGAACCUUACCAAGGCUUGACAUGAACCGGAAAGACCUGGAAACAGGUGCCCCGCUUGCGGUCGGUUUACAGGUGGUGCAUGGUUGUCGUCAGCUCGUGUCGUGAGAUGUUGGGUUAAGUCCCGCAACGAGCGCAACCCUCGUUCUAUGUUGCCAGCGCGUUAUGGCGGGGACUCAUAGGAGACUGCCGGGGUCAACUCGGAGGAAGGUGGGGACGACGUCAAAUCAUCAUGCCCCUUAUGUCUUGGGCUUCACGCAUGCUACAAUGGCCGGUACAAAGGGUUGCGAUACUGUGAGGUGGAGCUAAUCCCAAAAAGCCGGUCUCAGUUCGGAUUGGGGUCUGCAACUCGACCCCAUGAAGUCGGAGUCGCUAGUAAUCGCAGAUCAGCAACGCUGCGGUGAAUACGUUCCCGGGCCUUGUACACACCGCCCGUCAAGUCACGAAAGUUGGUAACACCCGAAGCCGGUGGCCUAACCCUUGUGGGGGGAGCCGUCGAAAGUGGACCGGCGAUUGGGACGAAGUCGUAACAGGGU
rnacentral:rRNA from 1 species